GCCCACGGUAGUUCCAUUGAACACGUUACCCCACCAGUGCGCGUACAUUUGAAACCAAGUGCGUUAAGUAUGAAGGUGUUGAAGCAAGUACUGGCAUUUGCCGCAUUUGUUCUAGUAACAUUGUUAGUUGUCCAAGGUGCUUACGGGCAAACAACAACUGAAGAACCAUCCACCAGCACAAAUGCCGACGAUUGAGUUCGCCAGCUGAAAUUUCCAGUUUUAAUUUCCAAAAUGCAAUAAACGCUAACAUCCAA